rnacentral:rRNA from 1 species
UACGUAGGGGGCGAGCGUUGUCCGGAUUUAUUGGGCGUAAAGAGCGUGUAGGCGGUUCGGUAAGUCUGUCGUGAAAUCCUGAGGCUCAACCUCGGGCGUGCGAUGGAUACUGCCGGGCUAGAGGAUGGUAGAGGCGAGUGGAAUUCCUGGUGUAGCGGUGAAAUGCGCAGAUAUCAGGAGGAACACCGGUGGCGAAGGCGGAUCUCUGGGCCUUACCUGACGCUGGAGGCGCGAAAGCUAGGGGAGCGAACAGG